CUGUGUUCUAUCCUGGAGAAUGUGUGUACAACAGUGUAUAUUCUUAAACAUCAUCUUAGAUUCCAUUUUGGAUGCUUGCAUGGGGACUGUGUGUCCCUGUACUGGGACUUAUGUGAACACUUGGCUUCAAAUCCAUUGCUGUUCUCUAGAAAUCCAGCCCAAUUCUCAUGGUUAAAUAUAAGGUAUGUGUGGUAGGCAUUGCUUUUUCUCUUUGGGGACAGAACUCAGGAGGAUUGUCUCUUGAUGAACAAGGCUAACCUGCUGAGCCUUUGAAGCAAGGAACUGGAGAUGGUCCUUUUAGGGGUUUAUAUUCUGGAUUCCAGAAAACAUGCAGAGAGAGUCAAUAAAUGUAUCUUUAUUUUUGUGUCCAUUUUAACCAGGUGAGGAAAAUUCCGUCAAAAAACCCAGACUUUUGGAGCGAGA
rnacentral:lncRNA from 1 species